rnacentral:misc_RNA from 1 species
UGAGCGUAUUGUGGGUUUCCUGUGUUGCAUACCUGACUGGUGGUAUCGUUUGGUUGAUCGAAGUCCCUUUUCGUCUUGUGUUGCCUAUGCGAAGCAUGACGAACCUCGAAGCAGACUCUAUGUUCCACCAUGUUGAUGCUAGCGUUUCGAUGUUGUGGCUCAUUGAGUUUGCUUGGUCUUGUGGAUACAGAACAUGAUUUGGGCAUAGGGUCACUCGUGACUCUUGUUUUGUCCUUUACAAGUGUUCUUUAUAACGACGGUUCAUGCCCGCCUAGGCUCGUACCUGCGUGAUGUUCUUGUCGAAGAGGAAUGC